rnacentral:lncRNA from 1 species
GUCAGGUUUAGCAGUUGCAGAGUCAGUCAGGUUUCUGCUUGAGGAGCAGAGGUGAGUAGAACUAAACUUAAUCUUUUAUUAAAGAAACAUAGUGCUUUUGCAUAGUUCAUGCAUCAUGAAUGCUAUGAUAUGUAUUAGGGUGAUUGCAUUAGACUCACGAAUAUGAAGCAUUGCAUAUUAUUGUUGAUUAUGUGAUCAGAGGUUAGGUGGACCCAGGCGACUCCAAUAGCCUAAGCUUCGGCUCCUGUCAUUGUGUCAGGUCAGUUGGGCAAGUACAUGUUGGAAUGCCCUGUGUAGCUCCUUUGGGGGGGCCAGUAGUGACAGAGGGUAUUUUUGGGGUCAUGUCUACCUUAGUGGAGAUUGGACCAAGGCGACUUCAAUAGCCCGUCGAGGGAGUUUUGGGGUCAUGUCUAAUCCAAGAUAUAUUGAGAUGUUUGUUU